GAAAUGUAUGUCUUACACAGAUUCUAUACACCUGAUUGCUGCAAUAAAGUUACAAAAAAUUUUUUAAAAUGUUCUUGCUAAAUUUUCUGGCAUUAAGCAAUGAGAAAUCAUUUGGGAAAUUCUAACUGACCUAAAACAAAGAGAAAUUUGGUCUUAUUUAACUGCAAACAGUAAGAAAAUUUUUUUAUGUGUUUUUUAAUUAUCUUUAAACAGUUGGUUUCAACUGUUUACAGUUGAAACCAACUGUUUCAACUGUUCAGAGUUGCAUAAACUUUCCAAGUUUAUGCUCUGAAUCAAGCGCUAGAUUGCACUUUAUUACUAAACUGUGCAGCUUUUAUAUACAAAAAUCAAGCACUUUCCAAACAUUGAAAGCAUCCAAUUGAAAUCUCUACUUUUUGGAGGAUGAAUGUUGGGAUCCCCCAGAUCUCAAACCCUGUGCUUCUGAACUGACACCCAAAGAACUGGAGCGCAGACGUUGUGGAUGUAGGACAGCAGCCAGAAAACAAGGAGGAGGAAGUUUAAAUCACCGCUUCCCAAGGUUUACUCUUCAACUGGAAUGUGAGAUCUCUGAAUACAAAAACUGCAGUACUAUAA